rnacentral:rRNA from 1 species
GACGAACGCUGGCGGCGUGCUUAACACAUGCAAGUCGAACGCUGAAGCACCAGCUUGCUGGUGUGGAUGAGUGGCGAACGGGUGAGUAAUACGUGAGUAACCUGCCCUUGACUCUGGGAUAAGCCCGGGAAACUGGGUCUAAUACUGGAUGCUGCAUGUCACCGCAUGGUGGUGUGUGGAAAGGGUUUACUGGUCUUGGAUGGGCUCACGGCCUAUCAGCUUGUUGGUGUGGUAAUGGCUCACCAAGGCGACGAAGGGUAGCCGGCCGGCGAGGGUGGCCGGCCACACUGGGACUGAGACACGGCCCAGAAUCCUACGGGAGGCAGCAGUGGGGAAUAUUGCACAAUGGGCGAAAGCCUGAUGCAGCGACGCCGCGUGAGGGGUGCCGGCCUUCGGGUUGUAAACCUCUUUCAGCAGGGAAGAAGCCACAAGUGACGGUACCUGCAGAAGAAGCGCCGGCUAACUACGUGCCAGCAGCCGCCGUAA